AGUUAAUAGCAAUAAAAAUAUUGGUUUAUUUUAAUUGUUCUAAUUACAGUUUCUUAUUAUUGUUCGAGCUGUUAAUUAUUUAUUACUUAGGUUUUCAGCUUUUAUUUUUCAAUUUAAAAAAAUUGAUAAGUUUGUUAAAGUAAAAUGGCUCGAACCUCCACAUUCCAUUGAAUAUGGAACAAUUACUAGAAAUUGGAUAGAAGAAAGAAAUGAUAGCUUUUGGGUGUGCUGGCCUCCAGUUCCUAAUGUAAAGCCAUUAAUUUUAAACAGACAUCUACCGAAAAAAGACUGGUUCAGGUUUAUUUUGUUGAAGAAAUAUGGAAGUGGAAGCAGCUAUUCUGAAUCUAAACUUGUCCCCUCAGCCAUUGAUACAAAUGUCGAACGGUUUUACCAUAUUUUAUGAGUGGUUCUGAUGAUUUGGGUUGUUUGAGUUAAUUUACUUUAUAUUGUUUGGUAUUAUACUAAAAGAUUUUUUUGAUGUAUCAACAAAAUAUGUGAACAGGUAUAUUGUUUAUUAUAAAUAAUGAUGUUGUUUCCAAUCAACCAAAAAGAUCUAAAUUGGUUUGCAGCAGUGAUGAAGAGCAAGAGACCAUAAUCGACAGGUUUCCGUUACUUCCACCAUCACUACUAAAAAAUUCAUUAUUUUAUCUUUAUUUAAAAAUUUGUAUUUAUAAACUUUUUUGUUGUGUUUUCAAUACUAUUGUAUACUUUUUUCUUUUUUGAGACUAAUUUUUUAGACUUACAGCAAAUAAUACUCUUUAAAACAUUGAACUUGAAUUUAAAAAGAUCAAUGAGUAUUAUUUGUAGUGCUAACAAAGAUCUUUGUAGGACUUUACAGUAUACAUCUAAAGUAUAUCAGAUAUGUUUUAAGAAGUCUAUUUUUGCAGAUAUUUCAAAGUGUUGUUUUCUAUCGUUAAAAUAAAGUUUGUUUUUUUUAAGUGCCUUCAAAUCUAAAUUUGAUAACUAAAAAGAAGCAAAGAAUUGACUUAAAGAUUAAUCCAUAAUUUCAAACUAAAGUACAAUCGUCUCAAUCUUAUCUCCUGCAGCAUAACACAAGCAAUAUUUCAGUUUUAAAAAUAUUAUUUACUUGAUAGAUAUCUAUAUGUAGACUUUAUAAACUUUUUGUAACUUGAAAUUUCUUUUUUUUCUGUUUUCCAGAAAAAUGUGAUGAAAUUUUUUUCAAAAAUAUAAAAAAAGAUUUAUCUGAUAUUAAGCAAACCCAAAAAGAUAUUAAUGAAAAGUUUCCAGUUCUGGAGCAUACAGCAAUAGAUAUUGUUAAUACGUUUGUCUUCAUUACUAUUUACAAUAUUGAGGAUUUGGGGAAGUUAAAAAGUAAAUUAGAAAAUAAAAACGUAUAUUUGCAGCUUGUAUGUUCACUAGUAUAUUUUAUCAAUUUUGUUAUUAUUUAAAACACAUAAUUUAUGACACUGUAUUGGUCAGUUAAAAAACUAGUUUAAGGUGAAAAAAUUUUUUUCAAAUUUCAAAUACAUACGAUGUUAAUUAGUAAUAUCGUAUUGCUGUUUUUUAUUACAGGUAAGUUAACUUUUUGUUCACUGUUUUUUUUGCAUUGUAAUUAACCAAAUAGUGAAAAGUUAACAGCAAUAAACACAGAAAUUCACAGUAGUUGUGUGGAAUGAGUUUAAACUUAUUCUAAAAUUCAAAAUCUUAACUAAAAAUUCAUGAACAAAUAUUGUUGUUAAGUCUUUUUCAUCUCUUAUUUCCAUUGUAAUUUGAUAUAGUAUUUUCAAGACUUUUGGUUGCUAUUCUGAUGCUUUAAAUAUUCUUGCAGAGAUUUUUUACUUGUUACUUAAUUUAUCAUGUUGUUAUAUGUAAUAAAUUAUUAUUACAGGUGGCAGUUUUAGCUUGUGCUUGUGACAUCCACCCUAACAAAAGUAACUAUGAGGCAAUGAACAAACUUUUAACAGAAGAUGUUGUUUCAAAAUAUAAUAUAACGGGCACUGCCCAGAAGUGUAAUUUUCGCACGGAAUUCAAAAAUAUUUAAUCACCCAUUGUAGAGGCAGUUAGUAGUCAGCAUGCUGACACCAAAAAUAUUCAACUCUACAGUUUUAUUGGAGAGUGGUUACGACAAGCUGGUGUAAUGAAUAUCCGAACUGAAAAGAAA
rnacentral:lncRNA from 1 species